rnacentral:rRNA from 1 species
GGGAUCUUGCCAAUGGGGGAACCCUGNGCAGCGACGCCGCGUGAGUGAUGAAGCCCUUCGGGGUGUAAAGCUCUUUCGGCAGGAACGAUAAUGACGGUACCUGAAGAAGAAGCCCCGGCUAACUUCGUGCCAGCAGCCGCGGUAAUACGAAGGGGGCCAGCGUUGCUCGGAAUGACUGGGCGUAAAGGGCGCGUAGGCGGAUGGCACAGUCAGAUGUGAAAUUCCCGGGCUUAACCUGGGGGCNUGCAUUUGAUACGUGUGAUCUGGAGUGAGGAAGAGGGUCGUGGAAUUCCCAGUGUAGAGGUGAAAUUCGUAGAUAUUGGGAAGAACACCGGUGGCGAAGGCGGCGACCUGGUCCUUGACUGACGCUGAGGCGCGAAAGCGUGGGGAGCAAACAGGAUUAGAUACCCUGGUAGUCCACGCUGUAAACGAUGUGUGCUGGAUGUUGGGUGACCUAGUCGCUCAGUGUCGUAGCUAACGCGAUAAGCACACCGCCUGGGGAGUACGGCCGCAAGGUUGAAACUCAAAAAAAUUGACGGA